GUGGCGAACGGGUGAGUAUCACGUGAGUAACCUGCCCUUGACUCUGGGAUAAGCCUGGGAAACUGGGUCUAAUACCGGAUAUGACCAGUCCUCGCAUGAGGUGCUGGUGGAAAGAUUUUAUCGGUCUUGGAUGGACUCGCGGCCUAUCAGCUAGACGGCGAGGUAACGGCUCACCGUGGCGAUGACGGGUAGCCGGCCUGAGAGGGUGACCGGCCACACUGGGACUGAGACACGGCCCAGACUCCUACGGGAGGCAGCAGUGGGGAAUAUUGCACAAUGGGCGCAAGCCUGAUGCAGCGACGCCGCGUGCGGGAUGACGGCCUUCGGGUUGUAAACCGCUUUCAGCAGGGAAGAAGCUUUUGUGACGGUACCUGCAGAAGAAGCGCCGGCUAACUACGUGCCAGCAGCCGCGGUAAUACGUAGGGCGCGAGCGUUAUCCGGAAUUAUUGGGCGUAAAGAGCUCGUAGGCGGCUUGUCGCGUCUGCUGUGAAAGCCCGGGGCUUAACCCCGGGUGUGCAGUGGGUACGGGCAGGCUAGAGUGCAGUAGGGGAGACUGGAAUUCCUGGUGUAGCGGUGAAAUGCGCUGAUAUCAGGAGGAACACCGAUGGCGAAAGCAGGUCUCUGGGCUGUUACUGACGCUGAGGAGCGAAAGCAUGGGGAGCGAACAGGAUUUAGAUACCCUGGUAGUCCAUGCCGUAAACGUUGGGCACUAGGUGUGGGGGGACAUUCCACGUUUUCCGCGCCGUAGCUAACGCAUUAAGUGCCCCGCCUGGGGAGUACGGCCGCAAGGCUAAAACUCAAAGGAAUUGACGGGGGCCCGCACAAGCGGCGGAGCAUGCGGAUUAAUUCGAUGCAACGCGAAGAACCUUACCAAGGCUUG
rnacentral:rRNA from 1 species